UCACUGUCUCAGUGGCUACUGACCGGAGCUGUACUGAUAUCAGAUCUACAGAGUACGGUGGUCUCGGAUCCACCUAUAGCUCGACCGAUGCGUCGCCGGACGGCCGUCCACGCGGUCCUCGUUGCCGCCGGCCUCCUGGUGCUGCUGGCCACGUACUCGCCGCCGCCGCUGCGUUCUCCUCCAGGUAUGCAUAAUGCAUAUAAUUUCCUCUGCGAGCUCCAAAUCCCAGCUUAUGUGACAGUGUGUGUGUGAAUGGAUUCGCAGUGCUGCUACUGGGUGGCGACGCCGACGCGGGUGCGCAGGGUAGCCGGUCGGCGCAGUCGACGCCACGUGAGAGGAGGAAGCUGGGUGUGGUAGCCGGCCGGCGCUUGGGCCAGAGAGUGCCCGUGAAGCCACCCUCGCCGGACCCCAACGGCUGGAAGACGAUGGUGAAGCCCGUGCCGCCGCCGCCGCCGCCGCCAUCAUCAAUUUACUAGGCGUACGAAAGCAGUAUGCCGAUCUGGUGCUCACUCGCCCAUGCUAUGCAACGUCGCGUACUUGCGCGUGGCCGACGGCUGCAAAAUCUUGUCUUAGGACUGUCUUUUCAUUUCCUGUGGUGCUUCUAAUGGCGCUUAUGGAUGACUGGAACGGUCUUUUGCUCCGUGCAAAAGCAUGAAACCUCCAGUUUCGCUAUUUGUAGCCACUCCCUAAUUUUGUUUCGUGGGACCAAAAUAAUGUUAAUACUCUACUCUUUCUUAUUAUUUUGAGCAAAGCUUAAUACUCUGCUGGUUAAGUACAAAUGUUCUGGCCUUUUGGCGGGCUAAAUUGUGUAUGGGUCCAGCCUAGUUGCAGGCUUGUGGCUCAACUUGAUACAUUUCGCUU
rnacentral:lncRNA from 1 species